rnacentral:rRNA from 1 species
UACGUAGGGUGCGAGCGUUGUCCGGAAUUAUUGGGCGUAAAGAGCUCGUAGGCGGUGUGUCGCGUCGGUCGUGAAAACUUGGGGCUUAACCCUGAGCUUGCGGUCGAUACUGGAUGGCUAGAGUCUGGUAGGGGGAUCUGGAAUUCCUGGUGUAGCGGUGGAAUGCGCAGAUAUCAGGAGGAACACCGGUGGCGAAGGCGGGAUCCUGGGCCAGUACUGACGCUGAGGAGCGAAAGCGUGGGGAGCAAACAGG